GAGACGCUUUGACUGCAAUCCAUGGGGAACGAAGAGAAAGCUCUUAUCAAUAAUCAGAUUAUUAAACACAAAAAGAUCAUAGAAUUGCACUUUUGCCACUGUUAUAGAGAUGCCUGGGAAAACACAUGCAAAUUCUCUCCGUGCUCGCAUUUCCAACGCAAAUAUCUUUCAUUUACCGUAACACCUUAUCUCCCCAAAAUUAGGAGCAGAACAUAUAUAUUGCAAGUUACAGCACCAAGUCCCAUCAUCAGUUUCAACCUUCACAUGCACAUGACUGUACAAUGAAAAUGUCUCUCUCUUACAUGAUGUGCGUCACCAUAAUUUAUCGUGAAAAAUACCAUCAAUUAGCUGCUUGCUAAUAAAAACUAUCAACACCGGCCAAAAUCUAAAUCAAUUAUCACAUAUAUACUGAUGGAGUUUGCCAUUUGAACUUGACAAGUAGCUAAAUGAGGAACAGAAAUUCACUAGGAGAACCAUAAUAUUUUCAGAUGCUCAAGUAAAUGGUGUUACUAAAUAAAAAAGGGAAGGGAAGAGAGAGCCGUCCAAAAUAAUAUAGCAAUUUAGCAGUCUGAUAUCCUAAAGCAAGGAGGCAGCAACAACAGUUUUACCUGUAUAUCUCGAAUAAGAAGAAGGGUAGCAAGAGAUCGUGAGUCAGAAUGCACAACAGAGUCCUCUAACGACUCAUCUGCAAGAAUUAAUAUCUGUCCCUUAAGAGUUAGUAAUAAGUAGUAAAAGUGAGCUCAUAGAAGAAAAUCCGAAAUGUGCUUGUGUAUGACAAGAAAAGUUUCAUUUUAAAUGCAAAUGAGUUUCUGAAAAAGUUGUUGAGUAAUCCUACAACAAUAAAUAUUUUGGUUAUUAUUACUCAACACUACCAAAAUACUUGACAGCUGUUAACGGACCCUUGCUUAGCAAAACAAACGCAUGAAUUAUUCACACAGUAGUAGAUCCACACUGUCAAGGGGAGCUUGUUUAGCUCUAAACCAAAAUCAAUGGUGAGCCCAAUGCAAUUUCCUGGGCAGUCUCCCUUCAAUGUUCAAAUUUUCUUCAGUUCUCCGCCUCUAAAGCAACCUUUCGCACCUAAUGCUUCUUCUCCAGUCUCCACUAUCAGUUUAGUGAGUCAAUUGAGCUUCGUAUCUAGUAAAGCUUAUUUCCUUCCAAAUCCUUCCUCUAACUUAACAUGGGAUUCAGUGACUUCUA
rnacentral:misc_RNA from 1 species